UGCAAAUUCAUUUCUCAAAGUGAAGAAUGGGCAGGAAUUUGAGGCAGGAAUAAUGUACAAGGCAUAUCCUCAGAUGUCACCUAAAAAAGGCUUUUUAUCUGCUGACACAUUUGGAUCAUCUGUGUGAAAAGCAGCAGCACUUGAGCACCAGGAAGGACUUCAGUGGAAAUGUUAAGUGAAUACAGAAAGAGAAAAGCACUGAUCAAGAUAGUGGUCUCCAGGUGACUCUCACAGAAAAGCCUAGAGGAACCUGAGAAAGGAGUGAACAGAAGAACAAAAACUUGGGAAGAGUAAAGCACUGGAAAGACAGUCACAACAUUUCUUACUGCCCAUCAAAAUCAUGCACUGAAAGUGUCUUCAGGCUCAUUCAAUGGGACAAUAAAUAGUAAAGGAGGAAUGAAGUAUUG
rnacentral:lncRNA from 1 species